GGUUCUGAUUGUGGAGGGAACCACUAGUAAAUCCUUUCUGUGGUCCCAGAUUGGUUCUUCCAUUGAAAAACAUCAAAAUCUGAAUUAUACAGAGGUUAUGUAGCACUAUGAGUAAGUACUUUGGCCUUUCAUGUCUUAUUAUGUUGUUAAUUAGUUAACGUUUGUAAAGCACUUCGAAGAUGAAAAGCCCUAUAUAAGUUGUAAGUGUUAUUAUCUCUAGAGACCUAGGUUCAAUUCAAAGGUGCUUAAUUACAUAUGCCAUAAAUUAGACUUAAUGAGUUGUGGAAUCAUAUGUUUUAUGCAAUGCAUGCAGGUUUCUCAGAUCUGUGUCUUGUGGUCUGUUGCAGUACUUCUUUAGGUAUUCAAAGCUGUUAAGAAAAUUACACAAAAAUAGGGGAGAUAAUUUCUAAAAAUAAUCGAGUUGCAUUUCAGCACUAUUCAGGACUUGGUGAAGCAAACUGCCAGGAGCUUUGCUCUGCUGUAUCUAGGGAUUUUCCAGUAACCGACUUCAAAUUGCUGAAGGUAAGUUUUGGGGAUUUUUUAACUGUGGUAUAGACAAAAUUCUAAUUCAUACUUCUGUAUUUUGACUUAGCAAGAGGGUGCUGAGAGGUAUUGGUAUGGCUGCUGCCCUUCCAGUAACGCCCUGAAAUGUCCCACCAGGGGACCUCUCGGUGUUGGGUUAUGUUCACAAGCACAAGAAGAGAAGUUCCCAUCUCUGGAGAUACUAUCAUGUAAUUUCCAACAAGCCAUUACAAGUGGGUAAUGUGCAAAAAGAGGAAGUCACAUUUAUAGGAAAAUGUGGUUUCAUUGGCUUUGCAGAGCUGAGACUUUCCAUGUUAUGUAACUUAACAUAUUUGUUAAGUGGCCAGAAAGUUACAAACUUUGCUCCCCUGCAGCCCCAGCACGAGGGCAGCUGUCCAGCAGUGAGAACAGGCGAGUUCAGAGACACAGAAAAACAGCAGGAUCAUUCACCUGUUCUGAAGUGGCUCCCACGUGUUCCUGCAGCAGAAUAUAUCCAUUUUACCUUGAGCCUUUCACGGGCAUAUAGCAAGAGGCAGGAUUUAUCCUGCUUAUAAAUAUGUUAGGAGUGAUUGUGUUCAUUAGUACAACCUAAGUAGAUUGGAAAAACUAAUUAAUAGCAAUUUACUAUGAGCGUCUCUAACAGACUGACUUCAAAGUAUUUAUCCUGAAGUGGAAGUUAUUUGAUUUGGUUAAUGUUUUAUUGUAAGCAUAUGCAGACUGUCUUCCAGGGGAAAAUGUAUUUUUGAGUACUCCAGACAAGUGAAACUGGUGAGCCCGCAGUCCAGAGAAAGCAUCUGUAACCGCAGCCAAAAGAGGAACGAGGUUUCCGACGUUCUUUCAAGACAUGUGUUUGAAGCAUGGGUUCCCAUCACUUUCAGAGUCACUUGCAGGCCUUUUUCUUUAUAUAGAUUUAGACAAGUCGAUGUGGGCCUAGAUUCAGCGUGAUGAAUGCCUUUGUGGUUUCUCCCUCGUCCGUUUUCCCCUGUGCUAUUUAAUCAUUUAUUUUGAACAAGAGUAUGUUCUCAAGAAACUUGAAAUGGGACAAAGCAUAGUUUCUGACAGUGUUUAUCACUCAUUUUUCAUAUUUCUAAGAAAUGGAUCUAGUUUUACACCUUAUUUACUGGGGCACAUCUCCUUCAAAAACAAGAUAUAGUUUUACUGAAUACUUUUCAUAUACUCUAAUAAAUAGGAACUUCACAUGAAUGCUGAUUUGAGCUCCAGGCCAUGGUUAAAACAUUUAAAUAGUAUAGCAAACUUAUCAACAAACCUUUCCUUCCCCACCCUUCCCUUUUUAGAGUGAACAGAUUUUUAUCUGACUAGCACGUGACUUGGGGAUUUUUACAAGCACAUUUAGGAACUUGUCAAUUAUUUGAAAACUUGAGCCUGAAAAUAAAACAAACUCCCCCCCCAACUUAAAAGUCCAGUAUUUUGUAUAGUGUGUACAAAAUGGGUAAAAUUUUGACUUGCUGGAGUACCUACAGGGUUCUGUUCUCUGACCUAAUUAUCACUACUUAACUAGGAGUUUGAUUCCUAUUUUUAAUACUCCAAGACACCACAUAUACUGGUGUAACUCACUGAGGUACCAAAUCUGUGGACCUAUAAGACACUCUUCGUUUCUAAACUCCUGUAGUCUUUUGUCAAAAGAAGAAUAUUCAUGUUGUUUUUAUUUCAUCUUGGCAUUUUAAGUCUGUCUCCUUUCCUCCUCUGCUUCCAAGAUGUUAGUGACAUACUCUGGCAGUGAUAUCACUGUUGCUCAAACAUCAGUGAAGAAGCUCUCUGAGCAAGUGAGACAGUUGUGAGCUUGAGCAGCUGCACUGAACUGCGUGUUCAGAGAUGUGAGGCAGCGGGAACGACUGUACAGCACUGUGAGAGCGCUUUUAUACAGCCAGGCCUCCAACUCCGACCAAGUGCUGAUGGCUCAUAAGAGUGCUCUUUGGGAAAACAAUUCAUGGGCUACAAAAAGUGUGUAUGGAGAAACAGCUUGGUAAAUUAAUAUCCAGGAAAGAACUUCUGGUCACUCGGUCAUUAUGUCUGUUGACCCAGUUAGGACUUUUACAAAAACAGUUGACAUCCCUUUGGCUGUGACUUCCCUGGUCAUUUUCCUGUUUUAAGUCCCUAAUUUAACAAAGCACUGAUCUCUCUCUCUCUGAGAGUCUUUGACUGUGGAAACAUUGCCCAUGAGGUCUGGAAGACUUCUGGAUCAUUAUUGCCACCGACUUCCUCUCUCUGUGAGCAAAGAGCUAUCAGAGGUCAGCUGCAGAGUGGAAAGUGUGGCAGUAAAUUGUGAGGCAAACAGGGAAGCAAAUGACCACUAUCUCCCAGUUUCACAAGAAAGAAGUCAGAAAUACCAUAACCACUGAAAGGCAUCUUGAAUAAAGGAACGCUUCGGUGUGGACCCUGUGUUCAGGAAACCCCAAGUCCUGCUGAAUUGGUUUGGAUUAAGAGAGAGGAAAAGGAGAGGACUCUUGGUAAAAUAUCAGGUAUAGACAGACAUACCCUAGUCUUGUGGCACCCAUGAAUAGAUCCAGUGAGCCUGUGCAGCUGUGUUUUGAUCAGCAGAGAAGUUUCCUGGCAUCUGAGAACUGAAAUCACCUUUUGGGUCAUCACACCUUACUGGAGGUUUCCCUGGCUUAAUGAGCAGCUCUGAAACCAGAGAAAGUACCAGACGAUGGAGGGCAUUGAACAUUCUUAUAUUUGAAAGCCACUCCAUAGCAUCCACAAGAGGAUUCUUGGCACCUGCCUAGUUAAACUGAAUGUCCAAUGUUAUCUCUCCAGGCAAGUAAGAUUCUGGCAAUCACUGUAGUCCUAUUUCACUCGUUCUCAGUCUUUUUGACACCAACACAUUAA